rnacentral:tRNA from 1 species
UCAUGGUUGGCUCAGUCAGUAGAGCACGUGACUCUUGAUCUCAGGGUCGUGAGUUUGAGCCCCACACUGGGUG